UCGCUCGCGCUGCUCGUGCACGUGACGUCUCGCAGCUGUGGCACCACAGAUAAUAAUGCAAAAGAAUCGUCUGAACUACCUACAAAAGAUAAGAGCCGAAUGAACCCAGGACCUACUCGGUCUUCUCGAGUUAUUUUUGCCAAAUUCUUCAAACCUUCACUGACAUCUUCUAUGGCUACAGAUUCUCAAGAAACGAAAUUUGACACCUGGAAAGCCAGAAACCGGCCCCCUCCUCUGCCUCCAGUUGACUUCGAUUCCUAAUAAGUGUUUCAAAUCGUUACUCACAAACUUUGUCAGUAUCAACUUUAUAAAAUUGUGAUGAAAUGAACUAUUCGAUUCAACUUCGGUUCUCACUAAAAAUAUAAAAUAUUUAUAAUAAUUCACAAGUUGUAAAUUGUUAUAAAUAUUUUAGUGACUAUGAACUUAAAAUUGUAAUCUGAUUUUAAAUUAGGAAUAAUAAAUUUUGUCGGUUAUUAAAGAACCCGGAUCGAAGGACCAAAAAUUUAAAUCUUUGCGCUUUUCUCAGUUCAUGAUUGUUUUUGUAUUUAAGUGAAUUUGUUAAUAUUUUUAGAUAUAAUAUAUUAAGUGUGUUGAGUUUAUUUCGUAAGUGGUAUAUUUGUUUGUUAGUAUAUAUCGGUUACACUGAAUUGUUUUGGCAUAAGUUUUAAAAUAAAGUUCAGUGAUGUUAA